rnacentral:rRNA from 1 species
AUUGUAGUCUGCAACCCGACUACAUGAAGCUGGAAUCGCUAGUAAUCGCGGAUCAGAAUGCCGCGGUGAAUACGUUCCCGGGUCUUGUACACACCGCCCGUCACACCAUGGGAGCCGGGAAUGCCCGAAGUCGGUGGCCUAACCGAAAGGGGGGAGCCGCCGAAGGCAGGCCUGGUAACUGGGGUGAAGUCGUAACAAGGUAAC